UACGUAGGGUGCAAGCGUUGUCCGGAAUUAUUGGGCGUAAAGAGCUCGUAGGCGGUCUGUCGCGUCGGCUGUGAAAACUUGGGGCUCAACCCCAAGCCUGCAGUCGAUACGGGCAGACUAGAGUCCGGCAGGGGAGACUGGAAUUCCUGGUGUAGCGGUGAAAUGCGCAGAUAUCGAGGAGAACGAGCCGGUAGGCGGAAGGCGGGGUCCUCUGG
rnacentral:rRNA from 1 species